rnacentral:rRNA from 1 species
UACGGAGGGUGCGAGCGUUGUCCGGAAUCACUGGGCGUAAAGGGCGCGUAGGUGGCGGGUCAAGUGUGCGGUGAAAGCUUGGGGCUCAACCCCGAGUCGGCCGUGCGAACUGGCUUGCUUGAGCACUGUAGAGGCAGAUGGAAUUCCGGGUGUAGCGGUGGAAUGCGUAGAGAUCCGGAAGAACACCGGUGGCGAAGGCGGUCUGCUGGGCAGUUGCUGACACUGAUGCGCGACAGCGUGGGGAGCAAACAGG